AGUGAACGCUGGCGGCAUGCCUAACACAUGCAAGUCGAACGAGGGCUUCGGCCCUAGUGGCGCACGGGUGAGUAACGCGUGGGAACCUGCCCUGUGGUACGGAAUAACUCCGGGAAACUGGAGCUAAUACCGUAUGCGUCCUGCGGGACAAAGAUUUAUCGCCAUGGGAUGGGCCCGCGUAGGAUUAGCUUGUUGGUGGGGUAACGGCCUACCAAGGCAACGAUCCUUAGCUGGUCUGAGAGGAUGAUCAGCCACACUGGGACUGAGACACGGCCCAGACUCCUACGGGAGGCAGCAGUGGGGAAUUUUUGGCAAUGGGGGCAACCCUGACCAAGCAACGCCGCGUGGGUGAUGAAGUCUCUUGGGACGUAAAACCCUUUCGACGGGGAAGAAACCGCAAGGUUGACGGUACCCGUAGAAGAAGCCCCGGCUAACUCCGUGCCAGCAGCCGCAGUAAUAC
rnacentral:rRNA from 1 species